UCUUUGCAGAAAUUGGCAAACUGAACCUAAAAUUCAUAUAGAAAUAUAAGGAACCCAGGCUAGCCAAAAAAUGUUCACAAAGGAAUAAAGCUGGAGAACUCACACUUUCUGAUUUCAAAACUUACUACAGAGCUGCAACAAUCAAGACAGUGUAGUAUUGUAAAAUAAACAUCUAGAUCAACAGAAUAUAAUUGAGAGCUGAGGAAUAAACCCCCUUCAUAGUCAAUUGAUUUUCAACAAGGUGCCAACACAAUUCAAUGGGGGAAAAGACUCUUUUCCGCAAAUGGUGCUGGACAACUAGAUACCCACAUUCAAAAGAAUGAGUUUGGGCCCUAUUCUCACUCCAUUUGUGAAAUUUAAGCUCAAGAUGGAUGAAUGAACAAAGUGCAAGAGCUAAAACAUGAAAUCUUAGAAGAUAAUACAAGAACAAAUCGUUAUGAUUUUGGGUUGGUCAAUGAUGUCUUAGAUAAAACCAAAAAAGCACAAGCCAUAAAAGAGAAACAAAAGUUGGACGUCAGAAUUAAAAACUUUUGCUUCAAAUAGUACCCGCUAUGAAGUGAAAAGACAACUUACAGAUGGGGAGAAAAUAUUUGCAAAUCAUAUAUUGAAUAAGAGACUUGUAUCCAGUAUAUAUGAAGAAUUCUUGCAACAAGAAAACAACCCAAUUAAAAUUGUCAAAGGACUUGAAUAGAAAUUUCUCCAAAGAUGAUAGAAGAAUGAUUAACAUGCACAGGGAUGUAUGUGCAACAACAUGAGUCAUUAGGGAAAAGGUACAUCAAAACCACAAUGAAAUACUACUUCAUGAGUACUAUAAAGUCUACAGUCAAAAAGGCAAUAGCAAGUACAGAUGAGAAUAGGGAAUUAGAACUCUCAUAUAUUUCUGGUGGGAAUGUAAAAGGGGGCAGCCCCUUUGGCAAAUACUUGGGCAGUUUAUCAAAAUGUUAAACAUAGAAUUACCACAGGGUCCAGCAAUUCUACCCCUAGGUAUAUACCCAGGAAAAAUGAAAACAUGUUUACCAAAGACUUGUACAUGAAUGCACAGAGUGAUAUUAUUCAUAAGAGACAAAAAGUGGAACAACCCAAAUAUGCAUCCAUUGAUGAAUGGAUAAACAAAAUAUGUUAAAUCCAUACAAUGGAAUACUAUUGGUCAACAAAAAGGAUCCACAUACUGAUACAUGUAGCAAUGUGGAUACAUUUCCAAAACAUUCUUCUGAAUGAAAGAAGUCAGACACAGAAGACUGCAUACUGUGUCAUGAGAGAAGGAAGAAAAAGAGGGAGGAAAGAAAGAUCAAGGAAAGAAAGAGAAAGAAGAGAGGGAGGAAGGACCGAAGGAAAGCCGACCAGGAAAAAAAAAGUGCUUCUAUCAAUUUGGUUACUUCUUCAAAGAAUGUGAAAAGUCCCCAACAAAAGUAUACAAGACUUUAUUAUUUUGCUGAAGAAAUGGAUAUGUUCAGCCUGCUAUUUGGGGCAGGACUUCAAGGACUGGAAUGAAAGACACAACCCUUUUCGGAUAUGGAAUCCUUGGAUGAAAUGUGCUUUGAACAAAAUGCUUUCUCCGUUUAGUUUGUUUGACACUACUCAGCCUUGUAAUAGG